rnacentral:tRNA from 1 species
UCCCUGGUGGUUCAGUGGCUAAGACUCUGUGCUCAAAUGCAGAAGCCUGGGUUCAAUCCCUGGUCAGGGAA